rnacentral:rRNA from 1 species
AAACUAGGAUUAGAUACCCUAUUAUUGAGAAUAAAAAAUUGUAAGUAAAUAUUAAUUACGAAAGCAAAAAAUUAUGGCGGUAUUUUAAGCUUUUCAGAGGAAUUUGCUCUGUGAUGGAUAAAACACCUAAAUCUUACUUAAAUUAGUGCUUGUCAGUUUGUAUACCACUAUUACAAUAAUAAUUUAUUAUUAUUAUUAAUAUUCUUGUUUUAGAAAAAAAUUAAGUCAAGGUGCAGCAUAAAUUUAUGAAUGAAGUGAAUUACAUUUCUUUUGAGAAAAGUGAAAUUGAAAUAAAAUAUUUAGGAUUUGAUAGUAAAAUUAAAAUACAAAGUUAAUUUGAAUUAAGCUCUAAAAUAUGUACACAUCGCCCGUCGCUCUCAUU